rnacentral:rRNA from 1 species
AUGAAGGAAUGGAUCAAGCAAUGUAAGGUCCUGAGCUACGACAUCGAGCACGUCGUCCAUGAGUUCAUGGCUCAUGGGCUGAGGUCUGUCGAUCCGCCGGCCUCUGAUCGCAACAAACUCAUUGCUAGGGUAAAAUUCAAGAUGGUCAAUCCCAAUGCUUCCCGUCAAUUCGCCAAGAGCAUCCAAAGCUACAGGGACCGUAUCAUGGAACUAGACAUUCAACUCAUCAUCCAUAUGGGUCUGGCAGAGGGGGCAAUGGACAGCCUGCUCCCGAAGCUGGACGAGCUGCUCAUCAGCGGCAAGCUGCGGAAGCAAGCAAAGAAUGAAGUGGUUUUUCUGCAGGAGAAGCUAACCAGGAUACAGCUUGCCUUCGAGGGGGUGGAGAACAUGCCGGGGGAUCAGCUCAGCGUACGAAUCAAGGAAAGGGCCAGGCGAGCGAGGGCACUGAGCUACGACAUUGAGCAUGUCGUUGACAAGUUCAUGGCUCAUCGGCCGAGGGCUGCUGAUCGCCAUAAACUCAUUGGCAGGAUCAGAUUGAAGAUGGCGGUUGCCAAGGCUUCCGGUCAAUUCGCCAAGGACAUCCAAAGCUACAGGGACCGUGUCAUGGAAUUGGACAUUGCUCCUUCAAGUCCGAGUCGGAGUUCGACUCCAACGCAUGACGAUUUCUCCAACACCGCUGUUCCGAUUCCAAGUCCGAGGCAUGACACUGCCAUCGCUGCCAAUGACUAUGACGGCACAGUCGACGAGCUUGUUGACCCUGAUGUACUAGUCAAAAAGAUCAAUGAACACGGGGAGGGAAUCACAUCCAACAGGCAGCCCAUGAUCGCUUCAAUUCUGGGAGGUGCAGUCAUGGGCAAAACAAAACUUGUGGACCAGGUGUACCAGGAGCUUAACUCGCUAUUCGAGUGUACAGCUUGGGUCACUGUGUCUCAGGAGCCUGACAUAAAAAACGUGUUGUGGAACAUCCUCUGUCAGAUAAGCCUACAAGAUGAUGCCACUUUUGGAUCGCUCACUGUAAAAGAAACCAUCGAUGAGAUCAGGAAAGCCCUCAACAAUAAGAGGUACUUCAUUGUAGUUGAAGAUUUGUGGGAUAUUACAGAACGGGAAAUUAUCAAGUGUGCUCUGAUUGAAAAUAGCAAAGGCAGCGCAAUCCUGAUGACAAGCCACAGAGUUUCUGUCGCUCGAUUCCCUGGUGUUAAGAUUUACCAUGUGGGGCCUCUUUCAGAAAAUUCAUCUAGAGAACUAUUUGGUUCAGGAGACAAAUAUCCUCCUGAUUUGGUAACCAUGCCUGAAAAGAUUGUAAAAAGAUCCAGUGUUAUACCAUCAGCUAUCAGCAAUGCAGCUAACUUGCCAGCAGCUGAAGCAAAGGAAAGCCGGCGUACAAUGCUUGACUCUAGUAAUUCAGAGGAUUCGUAUGAUGCCGGAAUGACUUCGCAGCAGCUAGGAGAGGACAACCUCAGUGAGCUCAUGAGGAGAAAUUUAACUGAUGCAGCUCUAUCUUGCCGUGUGGAAGUCAUGGAGCACGAGUCAACAGUCUCAUUGUCAGCAGAAGAUAACUCGGUUACCAUAUUAAAUAAGCAGGAAGAACAACCUUUGCCAGAAACAGUUGGCCGGCUAACCAACCAGGGGCACAAUGCAGACCUUCCACAGGAGCAACUAUUUGGUGCAGGAGAUAACUCUCCUCCUGAUUUGGUUGGCAUACCCGAAAAAAAUUCUGAAGAAUGUAGUAGUACACCAUGA